CGAAACGGGGUGUGGUGGGUUGCGCAAGUCCCUUGGAAGAGGGCGCCGGAGAGGGUGACAGCCCCGUGGCGCACACAGCACGUCCCGACACGGCCGUUCGAAGAGUCGGGCUGUUUGAGAUCGCAGCCCCUAGCGGGAGGUAAAUUUCUUCCAAAGCUAAGUACGGGCGAGAGACCGAUAGCGGAAAAGUAGAGCGAUCGAAAGAUGAAAAGAACUUUGAAAAGAGAGUGAAAAGGACCUGAAAUUGUUGAAAGGGAAGAGAUUCGCGCGAGUGGGUGCGUCCCGUGUGUCUACACAGGGGAUGCGGUCUGCGUGGCUUGGGCGGUGCUGGAAGGCGCGGCGGCGAAGGUAGGCAUCUCCUCGGAGUGCCGUUAUAUCGCGGCUGCUCGCAGCGCGCCCGGGCAAGGACAACGACGCAGGCGAAAUCGCGCGAAUCACCCCGUCUUGAAAC
rnacentral:rRNA from 1 species